GCUUAAUAUGAAAGGAGAGAAUGUUAGCACUCCCCUUGAUAAGGAUGGAAGGGGUCCUAGUGACCUUACAGCACACAAAUGGUUAAGGCAUUGCUAUCUACUUAGUGGUACCUAACCAUGUUUUUCU